CCUACGGGAGGCAGCAGUGGGGAAUAUUGCACAAUGGGGGAAACCCUGAUGCAGCGACGCCGCGUGAGUGAAGAAGUAUUUCGGUACGUAAAGCUCUAUCAGCAGGGAAGAAAAUGACGGUACCUGACUAAGAAGCACCGGCUAACUACGUGCCAGCAGCCCCGGUACUACGUAGGGAGCAAGCGUUAUCCGGAUUUACUGGGUGUAAAGGGGGCGUAGUCGGCAGGGUAAGUCUGGAGUGAAAUCCCAUGGCUUAACCAUGGAACGGCUUUGGAAACUGGGCAGCUGGAGUGCAGGAGAGGUAAGCGGAAUUCCUAGUGUAGCGGUGAAAUGCGUAGAUAUUAGGAGGAACACCAGUGGCGAAGGCGGCUUACUGGACUGCAACUGACGUUGAGGCUCGAAAGCGUGGGGAGCGAACAGGAUUAGAUACCCCUGUAGUC
rnacentral:rRNA from 1 species